UACUUUUGCCUGGAUAGACCUAGUGGGUAAGUCGGCGAGGUCGGAUGCCGAACCCACUGGGAACUUCGUUGUAGUUCUCACACUACUAACCCUACAGGUCCUAGCACGAGCGGGGCGGCGGAGGACCGAGGCAAGGGUUUAGCGCCGUAGGUAGCGGCCAUCGGGACUUUUUUCACAUUUUGUAGUCAUUUUCCCUUUUUGGUCUACAUGUAUCAACUUCUUUUGUUGAUUUAGAAAGUUGUAAUGUUGAUAACAAUUAUGUAAUUUGGUGAAUGGCUAAAUGUAAAAC
rnacentral:lncRNA from 1 species